CCUACGGGUGGCAGCAGUGAGGAAUAUUGGUCAAUGGUCGGGAUACUGAACCAGCCAAGCCGCGUGCGGGAGGAAGGUACAGCGUAUCGUAAACCUCUUUUGUCAGGGAACAAAGACUGUUCCGCGUCCCCUUUUGAGUGUACCUUACGAAUAAGCAUCGGCUAACUCCGUGCCAGCAGCCGCGGUAAUACGGAGGAUCCGAGCGUUAUCCGGAUUUAUUGGGUUUAAAGGGUGCGCAGGUUGUUUUAUAAGUUAGCGGUGAAACCCCGAUGCUCAACAUCGGGGCUGCCGCUAAUACUGUAGGACUAGAGAGCGGAUGCAGCAGGCGGAAUGUGCAGUGUAGCGGUGAAAUGCAUAGAUAUUACACAGAACACCGAUUGCGAAGGCAGCUUGCUAGGCCGGAUCUGACACUGAUGCACGAAAGCGUGGGGAUCGAACAGGAUUAGAUACCCGUGUAGUC
rnacentral:rRNA from 1 species